CAGUCGCCGCGGUAAUACGUAGGUGGCAAGCGUUGUCCGGAAUUAUUGGGCGUAAAGGGCUCGCAGGCGGUUUCUUAAGUCUGAUGUGAAAGCCCCCGGCUCAACCGGGGAGGGUCAUUGGGAACUGGGAAACUUGAGUGCAGAGGAGGAGAGUGGAAUUCCACGUGUAGCGGUGAAAUGCGUAGAGAUGUGGAGGAACACCAGUGGCGAAGGCGACUCUCUGGUCUGUAACUGACGCUGAGGAGCGAAAGCGUGGGGAGCGAACAGGAUUAGAUACCCCAGUAGUCCCUGUCUCUUAUAA
rnacentral:rRNA from 1 species